AAAUCUGUCAUCCAGUGGCUUGAAUGGUGAUAUAUCGUCUUCGUUUGCAAAUCUCAAGGCUCUCGAAUACUUGAAUUUGUCAAACAACAACUUGACAGGCUCAAUUCCAGAUUCCCUUUCACAAUUACAGUCCUUGACAGAUAUAGAUUUGUCUAACAACCAGCUCAAUGGAUCGAUCCCCUCUGGACUUCUCAAAAGAAUUCAAGAUGGCUCCCUGAAUAUAAGACAUGGCAACAAUCCAAACCUUUGUAUCGGCGACAAUUCAUGUCAGCUUGCUGCUAAAAGGAAGAGCAAACUGGCCAUCUACAUUGUUGUCCCCUUACUUGUCAUUGUGGUGAUAGU